rnacentral:rRNA from 1 species
UACGUAGGUGGCAAGCGUUGUCCGGAUUUAUUGGGCGUAAAGAGCGUGUAGGCGGCCUGACAGGUCUGCUGUGAAAACUCGAGGCUCAACCUCGAGACGUCGGUGGAAACCGUUUGGCUAGAGUCCGGAAGAGGAGAGUGGAAUUCCCGGUGUAGCGGUGAAAUGCGCAGAUAUCGGGAAGAACACCCGUGGCGAAGGCGGCUCUCUGGGACGGUACUGACGCUGAGACGCGAAAGCGUGGGGAGCGAACAGG